CCCCUCUCAGGGUUGCACCUGGAGAGUUCCCAGUACUCUACCAGUCUCGACUACAGGAGGGAGAGUCAAGCAGAGGCAUAUCCAUUCCAUUCCUAGUUUGAGCAGUGGCCAGCGAGUGGGAAACAAUCUGAUACAAGC